GGCAUAGCUCAAUGAUAGAGCAUCUGCUUUGUAUGCAGAAGGUCCCAGGUUCAGUUCCCAGCAUCUUCA